rnacentral:rRNA from 1 species
AACGAACGCUGGCGGCAGGCCUAACACAUGCAAGUCGAGCGCCCCGCAAGGGGAGCGGCGGACGGGUGAGUAACGCGUGGGAACGUACCUUUUGCUUCGGAAUAGCCUCGGGAAACUGGGAGUAAUACCGAAUGUGCCCUAUGGGGGAAAGAUUUAUCGGCAAAAGAUCGGCCCGCGUUGGAUUAGGUAGUUGGUGGGGUAAUGGCCUACCAAGCCGACGAUCCAUAGCUGGUUUGAGAGGAUGAUCAGCCACACUGGGACUGAGACACGGCCCAGACUCCUACGGGAGGCAGCAGUGGGGAAUCUUAGACAAUGGGCGCAAGCCUGAUCUAGCCAUGCCGCGUGAGCGAUGAGGGCCUUAGGGUUGUAAAGCUCUUUCGUGGGGGAAGAUAAUGACUGUACCCCAAGAAGAAGCCCCGGCUAACUCCGUGCCAGCAGCCGCCGUAA